CCCCGGCACGUGCGAAGUCUCACCCGCGCUCCGCCCCGGCAGCCAGGAGUCCGCGGAGAAGCCGGCUACCCGGGCCCCAGCGGGGAUGCGGGCGCCCCGGGGGUGCAGGGCUACCCCGGGCCCCCCGGCCCUCGAGGACUGGCGGGAGNNNNNNNNNNNNNNNNNNNNNNNNNNNNNNNGCCGGCGGGGCUUCUUCCUGGAGGCCUCCUCUGCCCGCAGGGCCGGGACGCCAGCGACCAGCACAUCGUGACCGUGAUGAUGAAGAUGAUGCAAGAGCAACUGGCAGAGGUCGCUGUGAGUGCCAAGCGGGAGGCCCUGGGUGCCGUCGGGAUGGUGGGUCCGCCAGGACCCCCCGGGCCUCCUGGGUACCCAGGCAAGCAGGGACCCCAUGGGCACCCUGGCCCUCGGGGCGUUCCUGGCAUCGUGGGAGCCGUGGGUCAGAUUGGCAACACCGGCCCCAAGGGAAAACGUGGAGAGAAGGGUGACUGGGGAGAGAUGGGACGCGGGCACCCUGGGAUGCCUGGACCCCCCGGGAUCCCAGGGCUCCCCGGCCGGCCCGGGCAGGCAAUCAAUGGCAAGGACGGGGCCCGCGGUGCCCCAGGGGCCCCGGGGGAAGCAGGCCGACCGGGUCCGCCGGGCCCCGUGGGGCUGCCCGGCUUCUGUGAGCCCACGGCCUGCCUGGCAGCCUCGGCCUACGCCUCUGCGCGCCUCACGGAGCCCGGAUCCAUCAAAGGGCCAUGAGCAGGAGGCCAGGACAGAGCCUGAUGGGCAUCCUGGUGGGGGGGGGGGGACUAGAUUCCCGCGGGGUGGACACGCACCCCAUCCCUCAGACCAGGAAGCCAGCUUUCCAGGCCCUUCCAUCCGGGACCCUGGAGUCCUGAGGAAAAGGAAAUUCUAA
rnacentral:lncRNA from 1 species